AAUAUCUUGCAUGUUACAGAUUUCACUGCUCCCACCAGCUUGGAGACAACAUGUGGUUCUUGACAACUCUGCUCCUUUGGGUUCCAGUUGAUGGGCAAGUGGACACCACAAAGGCAGUGAUCACUUUGCAGCCUCCAUGGGUCAGCGUGUUCCAAGAGGAAACCGUAACCUUGCACUGUGAGGUGCUCCAUCUGCCUGGGAGCAGCUCUACACAGUGGUUUCUCAAUGGCACAGCCACUCAGACCUCGACCCCCAGCUACAGAAUCACCUCUGCCAGUGUCAAUGACAGUGGUGAAUACAGGUGCCAGAGAGGUCUCUCAGGGCGAAGUGACCCCAUACAGCUGGAAAUCCACAGAGGCUGGCUACUACUGCAGGUCUCCAGCAGAGUCUUCACGGAAGGAGAACCUCUGGCCUUGAGGUGUCAUGCGUGGAAGGAUAAGCUGGUGUACAAUGUGCUUUACUAUCGAAAUGGCAAAGCCUUUAAGUUUUUCCACUGGAAUUCUAACCUCACCAUUCUGAAAACCAACAUAAGUCACAAUGGCACCUACCAUUGCUCAGGCAUGGGAAAGCAUCGCUACACAUCAGCAGGAAUAUCUGUCACUGUGAAAGAGCUAUUUCCAGCUCCAGUGCUGAAUGCAUCUGUGACAUCCCCACUCCUGGAGGGGAAUCUGGUCACCCUGAGCUGUGAAACAAAGUUGCUCUUGCAGAGGCCUGGUUUGCAGCUUUACUUCUCCUUCUACAUGGGCAGCAAGACCCUGCGAGGCAGGAACACAUCCUCUGAAUACCAAAUACUAACUGCUAGAAGAGAAGACUCUGGGUUAUACUGGUGCGAGGCUGCCACAGAGGAUGGAAAUGUCCUUAAGCGCAGCCCUGAGUUGGAGCUUCAAGUGCUUGGCCUCCAGUUACCAACUCCUGUCUGGUUUCAUGUCCUUUUCUAUCUGGCAGUGGGAAUAAUGUUUUUAGUGAACACUGUUCUCUGGGUGACAAUACGUAAAGAACUGAAAAGAAAGAAAAAGUGGGAUUUAGAAAUCUCUUUGGAUUCUGGUCAUGAGAAGAAGGUAAUUUCCAGCCUUCAAGAAGACAGACAUUUAGAAGAAGAGCUGAAAUGUCAGGAACAAAAAGAAGAACAGCUGCAGGAAGGGGUGCACCGGAAGGAGCCCCAGGGGGCCACGUAGCAGCGGCUCAGUGGGUGGCCAUCGAUCUGGACCGUCCCCUGCCCACUUGCUCCCCGUGAGCACUGCGUACAAACAUCCAAAAGUUCAACAACACCAGAACUGUGUGUCUCAUGGGAACACGGUGUUUGGUUUUAUAAAUUCCAUUUUGGUGGAAUAGGAAGGUAUGAUCUGUUUCAUUGACUAUGCUUUCAUCUUACUUUAUGCCUUCUACUUUCCACAGGUUUUUGUUGUGUUCCUUUGUUAGCGUUUGAGUUAAAAACUUAAUUCUCUCUCUGUUGCUCAGGCUGGAGUGCAGUGGCAUGAUCUCAACUCACUGUAACCCUCCGCCUCCCAGGCUCAACGAUCCUCCUGCCUCGGCCUCCCUAGCAGUUCGAACUAUAGGCGUGCACCACGACAUCCAGCUAAUUUUUGUAUCUGUUGGAGACACAGGGUCCUGCCAUGUUGUCCAGGCUGGUCUCCAAUUCCAGAGGCAAUAAUUGGGAGGCCAAGGCGAUCUGCCUACCAAUUAUUUUCUCUUAAAUGCAUUUUAAAGCUACAAAUUUUCUCCUGACUGCUUCAUGUAGGUUUUAAUAUUAUUUGCCAUGAAAUAUAUUUCACAGUGGAAUGACAGAUAAUUGGGAUAAGAAAUGGCAAUUCAAGGAGUUAUUUAAAUAUAGGGCUAAGAUUUGAAUUCUAGCUUACUGGGACCAAAGCUUGUGAAGUCUCAGGGUAUGGCUGAAUUAUAGUGCUCUUGUUAUUUCUAAAGAGUGUAUAAUUUUUAUUCUGAUAUCCCCUUUAACCCAUGUGCUUUUUCCUAAGAGUACAACUUAAGGAGGGCAUGUUUGAUUAUUUUAUUGUUUUAUAAUCAGUUAACUAUGCCCUGGUCCUAUAUGGUUUCAGCUUUUCAGCACUUGUUGAGACUUAAUUUGCCAUCUCACUUAUGGCCAAUUUUUGUCAAUAUUCUAUGUGAAUUUGAAAAUAAUGUAACUUUCCUAUUUUGAAUAUAAGAUGGUAUAGGCAUAAUUAUAGUUAUGAUUAAUCUUAUUAACCGUGUUCUUCAAAUUCUCCAUAUCCUCAGUAAGUUUCAGUCAACUAGAUCUGUCAAUUCCUAAGAAAGGUAUAUUAAACUUAUCACUGUGAUUGUUGA